rnacentral:rRNA from 1 species
UACGUAGGGGGUAAGCGUUGUCCGGAAUCAUUGGGCGUAAAGCGCGUGUAGGCGGUCCGGUAAGUCCGCUGUGAAAGUCGGGGGCUCAACCCUCGGAUGCCGGUGGAUACUGUCGGGCUUGAGUACGGAAGAGGCGAGUGGAAUUCCUGGUGUAGCGGUGAAAUGCGCAGAUAUCAGGAGGAACACCGAUGGCGAAGGCAGCUCGCUGGGACGGUACUGACGCUGAGGCGCGAAAGCGUGGGGAGCAAACAGG